UACGAAGGGGGCUAGCGUUGCUCGGAAUUACUGGGCGUAAAGCGCACGUAGGCGGAUUGUUAAGUCAGGGGUGAAAUCCCAGAGCUCAACUCUGGAACUGCCUUUGAUACUGGCAAUCUCGAGUCCGGGAAGAGGUGAGUGGAACUCCUAGUGUAGAGGUGGAAUUCGUAGAUAUUAGGAAGAACACCAGUGGCGAAGGCGGCUCACUGGUCCGGAACUGACGCUGAGGUGCGAAAGCGUGGGGAGCAAACAGG
rnacentral:rRNA from 1 species